rnacentral:tRNA from 1 species
GUAUAGCUCAGUGGUAGAGCACAUGCUUAUCGUGCAUGAGGUCCUGGGUCAAUCCCCAGUAC